UACUAUACAUUAUUGAUAAUUUAUAUUUUUGUUCAAUAGUUACUUGGAAUAAUACCGGACUGAAGUUAUCCAUCUCCCUGAAUUUUAAAGAAUCGCCAAUAGUAAAAGUCAGUCAAUCUCAAAGAAUGCAAUCAGUACUAUUCUUCUGAUGGAGGAAGCAAUGGUUAUUGAGUAUAAAUUUACAUCCAGUAUUUGCUACAAUCACAUGGACUUCACAGCUACCCCAGCC
rnacentral:lncRNA from 1 species